rnacentral:pre_miRNA from 1 species
CCUGCGCGGAGACGACGCGGCGGCGGAGAUGAGUAAACUGUCGUUCCGGGCGCGGGCGCUCGACGCCUCCAGCCGCUGC